GACGAACGCUGGCGGCGUGCUUAACACAUGCAAGUCGAACGGAAAGGCCCUGCUUUUGUGGGGUGCUCGAGUGGCGAACGGGUGAGUAACACGUGAGUAACCUGCCCUUGACUUUGGGAUAACUUCAGGAAACUGGGGCUAAUAUCGGAUAGGAGCUCCUGCUGCAUGGUGGGGGUUGGAAAGUUUCGGCGGUUGGGGAUGGACUCGCGGCUUAUCAGCUUGUUGGUGGGGUAGUGGCUUACCAAGGCUUUGACGGGUAGCCGGCCUGAGAGGGUGACCGGCCACAUUGGGACUGAGAUACGGCACAGACUCCUACGGGAGGCAGCAGUGGGGAAUAUUGCACAAUGGGCGGAAGCCUGAUGCAGCAACGCCGCGUGCGGGAUGACGGCCUUCGGGUUGUAAACCGCUUUCGCCUGUGACGAAGCGUGAGUGACGGUAAUGGGUAAAGAAGCACCGGCUAACUACGUG
rnacentral:rRNA from 1 species